CUCUGAGUUAUUUCUUUCAGAUCCUAGGCAAUAUUAUGUUCCCAAUAAUUUUCAAAUAAAUCAAAGUGAUCCAUCUCGGUAAAGUUUAUUCCAACUUAAUGAUUGAGAAAUUUGUCUCAGAACAAGUUUUCUCACAGUAUAGCUGACUCGUUAAUCAAAGAGGCUCUUUAAAAAAGAGUCCAGGGGCCGGCCUGGUGGCACAGCAGUUGAGUUCACACAUUCUAUUUUGGCAGACCGGGGUUCGCCGGUUCAGAUCCCAGGUGAGGACAUGGCACCGCUUGGCAAAAGCCAUGCUGUGGUAGGCGUCCCACCUAUAAACCAGAGGAAGAUGGGCACGGAUGUUACCUCAGGGCCAGCCAGUCUCCCUCAGCAAAAAGAGGAGGAUUGCCAGUAGUUAGCUCAGGGCUAACCUUCCUAAAAAAAAAAAAAGAGUCCAAAGGAAUACUCUUUAGUUUAAGACAUCGACAGCUAUUCUAGUAAAAAUCCAUGCCAGUGAACGGAUGCUUAAGACAUAGAAAAACUGUGAUGAUUGUGACUGGCUUUGCGAAUUACCACAUCAGUAUAUGCUGUGAUCUAUAAUAGAAACAGAUACACACACACACACACACACACACUUUGAAUUCUGUUUUCUUGUUUGCCCACAGAACUGUCAUUUGAUUUUUCUUUUUUAAAGGAAGACUAUGUCAUUCUUAUUUUUCUUUUUAAUUUUAACCUAUUAUUGCUCUGUUUGAAACAAGAUUGGCCUAUGAUGUGUGAAAUUAAAUUGCAACAAUAAUCAGAAAUCCAUACAUUUUCAUAUUUGGAAACCUUAAUUCAAACACAUAGGUCCCUGGAAAAGGCUGCGAUGUUCGUGUUGUCAACAAGAUAGCUAUGCAUUUAGGGAGACAAAUAGAUCAAUAGGUGAGAUUUAUCACUGAAGUUAUUCUCAGUGCUGUUUAGAUUAAGGUCAACAAAUAUUAUAUUCAAAAGAACAAAAUAGAUUUUAGCGUGAGAAAUAGUGGCAAAUGUAAUUAAACCCCCCUUUUGUUUGUGUUUAAAUGUGCAGAAGAUGUUAAUCAACUUUGCUGAGCUAUAAUUUAUAUACAAUCAAAUAUACCCAUCUCAGUUUGAAGAGUUUUGUCCAAUGUAGACUCCUGGAAAUCCUGACCAUAAUCAAGAAAUAUGCCUCUUCCAUCACUCUAAAGUUCUCCUUGUGCCGCUUCCCUGUCAGUCCCCCACACUCAGCCCCAGACGUCCUUGAACUGCUUUCUGUGACUAUAAAUUAGACUUGCUUUCUCUAGGCUUCGUAUCACUGACUCAUACAGUACAUUCUCUUUCGUAUCUGACUUCUUUCACUCAGCACAGAGACUGUGCGGUUCGUCAAUGCUGUGUGUAGUCAGUCCUUUUUGCUGCUGACUGGUAUUCUGUUGUGUGAAUAUACCGGAUUUUCUUUAUCCAUUUACCUUUUGAUAGACUUUUGAGUUCUUUCCAGUUUUUGGCCAUUAUCAAUAAGGCUGCUAUGAAUAUUUGUGUAGAAAUCUUCUGUGAAGUGUCUGUUUCAAUCUUUUGCCCAUUUUUAAAUUGGUUUGUUCUUCUAUUAUUGAAUUCUAAGCAUUCUUUACAUAUUCUAGAUACAAGUCCUCUCUCAGAUGUCUGUGUUGUGAAUAUUUUCUCCUGGUCAGUGGCUCGCCUUUUUCAUUUUCUUAGUGGUAUGCUGUUUCAGUUGCAUUCAGCACUUGAAAAUAAUUUUUGUCACGUUUUGUAGCAACAUUUCAUGUAGCUUUAACAUAUGACUUGAUAUUCAUCAUUGAUAUCUUUU
rnacentral:lncRNA from 1 species